UUAAGUUAACAAGGGCGCAUGGUGAAUGCCUUGGCACUAGGAGCCGAUGAAGGACGGGACUAACACCGAUAUGCUUCGGGGAGCUGUACGUAAGCUAUGAUCCGGAGAUUUCCGAAUGGGGCAACCCAGCAGUUUUAAUCAACUGUUACCACUAGAUGAAUUCAUAGUCUAGUUGGAGGUAAACGCUGUGAACUGAAACAUCUCAUUAGCAGCAGGAAUAUAAAGAAAUUUCGAUUCCCUAAGUAGCGGCGAGCGAACGGGGAACAGCCCAAACCAAAGUGCUUGCACUUUGGGGUUGUAGGACUGAACAUUUGAGUUACCAAAGAACUUGAUAGUCGAAGGAUUUGGGAAAAUCCGCCAUAGAUGGUGAUAGCCCAGUAGAUUAAAUCAAAUUCUCUCAGUUCAGGAUCCUGAGUACGGCGGAACACGUGAAAUUCCGUCGGAAUCCGGGAGGACCAUCUCCCAAGGCUAAAUACUACCUAGUGACCGAUAGUGAACCAGUACCGUGAGGGAAAGGUGAAAAGCACCCCGGGAGGGGAGUGAAAUAGUUCCUGAAACCAUGUGCCUACAAUAAGUCAGAGCGCGUUAAUGCGUGAUGGCGUGCCUUUUGUAGAAUGAACCGGCGAGUUAUGAUCCCGUGCAAGGUUAAGACUAAAAAGUCGGAGCCGUAGCGAAAGCGAGUCUGAAAUGGGCGUUUUGAGUACGAGGUUAUAGACCCGAAACCAGGUGACCUAUCCAUGUCCAGGUUGAAGGUGCGGUAAAACGCACUGGAGGACCGAACCCGUGUAAGUUGAAAAUUGCUGGGAUGAGGUGUGGAUAGCGGUGAAAUUCCAAACGAACUUGGAGAUAGCUGGUUCUCUCCGAAAUAGCUUUAGGGCUAGCCUCGGAAUUAGGAUCAUGGAGGUAGAGCACUAUUUGGACUAGGGGCCCGUCUUGGGUUACUGAAUUCAGAUAAACUCCGAAUGCCAUUGAUUCAUAUCCGGGAGUCAGACGAUGAGUGAUAAGAUCCACCGUCGAAAGGGGAACAGCCCAGACCAUCAGUUAAGGUCCCUAAAUGUAUGCUAAGUGGAAAAGGAUGUGGAGUUGCAUAGACAACUAGGAUGUUGGCUCAGAAGCAGCCACCAUUUAAAGAGUGCGUAAUAGCUCACUAGUCGAGUGAUCCUGCGCCGAAAAUGUACCGGGGCUAAGCAUACUACCGAAACCAUGGAUGCGACCAUUAGGUCGCGUGAUAGGAGAGCGUUCUAAGGGCGGUGAAGCAAGAUCGUGAGGACUUGUGGAGCGCUUAGAAGUGAGAAUGCCGGUAUGAGUAGCGAAAGAUAGGUGAGAAUCCUAUCCACCGAAUGACUAAGGUUUCCUGGGGAAGGCUCGUCCUCCCAGGGUUAGUCGGGACCUAAGUCGAGGCCGAGAGGCGUAGACGAUGGAUAACAGGUUGAGAUUCCUGUACUAGUUAAGUGCGUUUGAGCAAUGGAGGGACGCAGGAGGCUAAGAUGUGCAUUCUGUUGGAUUAGAAUGUCCAAGCAGUAAGUCUUGUGAAGAGUCAAAUGCUUUUCACUUUAAGGACAAGCUGUGAUGGGGAGCGAAAUUUAGUAGCGAAGCGUCUGAUGUCACACUGCCGAGAAAAGCUUCUAGUGAGUACUUAACUACCCGUACCGCAAACCGACACAGGUAGUCGAGGAGAGAAUCCUAAGGUGAGCGAGUGAACUCUCGUUAAGGAACUCGGCAAAAUGACCCCGUAACUUCGGGAGAAGGGGUGCUGAUCGCAAGAUCAGCCGCAGUGAAUAGGCCCAGGCGACUGUUUAUCAAAAACACAGGUCUCUGCAAAAUCGUAAGAUGACGUAUAGGGGCUGACGCCUGCCCGGUGCUGGAAGGUUAAAAGGAUGGGUUAGCUUCGGCGAAGCUCAGAAUUGAAGCCCCAGUAAACGGCGGCCGUAACUAUAACGGUCCUAAGGUAGCGAAAUUCCUUGUCGGGUAAGUUCCGACCCGCACGAAAGGCGUAACGAUCUGGGCACUGUCUCAACGAGAGACUCGGUGAAAUUAUAUUGUCCGUGAAGAUGCGGACUACCCGCGACAGGACGGAAAGACCCCAUGGAGCUUUACUGUAGCUUGAUAUUGAGUGUUUGUACAGCUUGUACAGGAUAGGUAGGAGCCAUAGAAACCGGAACGCUAGUUUCGGUGGAGGCGUUGGUGGGAUACUACCCUCGCUGUAUGACCACUCUAACCCGCACCACUAAUCGUGGUGGGAGACAGUGUCAGGUGGGCAGUUUGACUGGGGCGGUCGCCUCCUAAAAAGUAACGGAGGCGCCCAAAGGUUCCCUCAGAAUGGUUGGAAAUCAUUCGCAGAGUGUAAAGGCACAAGGGAGCUUGACUGCGAGACAGACAGGUCGAGCAGGGACGAAAGUCGGGCUUAGUGAUCCGGUGGUACCGUAUGGAAGGGCCAUCGCUCAACGGAUAAAAGCUACCCUGGGGAUAACAGGCUUAUCUCCCCAAGAGUCCACAUCGACGGGGAGGUUUGGCACCUCGAUGUCGGCUCAUCGCAUCCUGGGGCUGUAGUCGGUCCCAAGGGUUGGGCUGUUCGCCCAUUAAAGCGGUACGCGAGCUGGGUUCAGAACGUCGUGAGACAGUUCGGUCCCUAUCCGUCGCGGGCGUAGGAAAUUUGAGAGGACCUGUCCUUAGUACGAGAGGACCGGGAUGGACAUACCUCUGGUGUACCAGUUGUGCCGCCAGGCGCAUCGCUGGGUAGCUACGUAUGGAUGUGAUAAACGCUGAAAGCAUCUAAGUGUGAAACACACCUCGAGAUGAGAUUUCCCAUUCCUUUAUGGAAGUAAGACCCCUGAAAGAUGAUCAGGUAGAUAGGUUAGAAGUGGCAGUGCGGUGACGCAUGAAGCGGACUAAUACUAAUCGGUCGAGGACUUAACCAA
rnacentral:rRNA from 2 species